CUCUAUUUACCUAAAAUUUGCAUUUUAGUCUUUAUGUUGUUGUACUUAUCUAGUCUUGUUUCUAUUUGAUUUUUCUCCCCCAUCCAACCACUGUCAUGACUGGCGUUUCACUGAAACAUGCUUUCUAUGAGCCAAUAUGUGGAUGCUUUUUUAUUUGGAUGGGAACCAUAUAUUUUGGUCAUCGCCAACUUCCUAUAUUUGGAGCAUAUCCUAAAGGGUAAUGUUUUAAAAUCUCAGCUGAAAUCCAUAGGGAAAAUAAGUGCUCAUUAUUUAACAAGCUUAAUCAAGCUUUGAGAAGUAAGUUCUCAUUACCUGAGCUUAAUCAAGCUUAGAGAGUAAAUUCUCUUAACUUAAAGGAGAGUUCAAAAUGUAAAGUGUCACUGUUGCAUGCAUUAUGUUCAAAUGUACAAGUCUCACUAGUUCAUGCAUUAAAUUCAAAUGUCCAUGAGGCUUGUAUUUAUAAGGGACCCAACCGACUACCCAUGAAUAGGUGUCUAUGACUUGAUGCUUGACGAAAAAUCUCACAAAACUCAAAAAGAAACCGCACACUUUCCUCAUACAUAAGAACAUCCAACAAUGAUUUGUCACAUACUUUUACACUUAAUGCUUGGUAUGUACACCCAUGACAGCUCAUGAUGUAUCAUGGUUUAUGCACCAACCUCAUGCUUUUUUUUUAACACACACCUACCCACCCCACACGGGCAAUUCAACCCAUGACUUCAUUGUUGAAACACACUCUAUCUACCACCAAGCUCAUGCUGUAUCAUGGUUCACCAACCUCAUGCUUACUGUCAUGAAACCACAAAUAAUCAAACAUAAUUGGUAUCUAGCAUCUCCAACAUAUCGCCUUGACAGUUCGGUCCAACUGCCUGUACAACUACUCGAACCCAGUCUUACCUGUCUAAUCUACUUGAGGUUUUAUUGAAUAAAGAAGAAUAGAAGGAAAAAAAUGCCUCUGGUGUGGUAGGUAGGAUGACAGAUUUUUAAGAGGAGUUUAUGGAUUUGAGCUCCACUAGGAGGUCAUGCAUUUCAUUAAGAAAAACACUUGGCCACCAAUUGGCCUAGUUAUCCCACUUGUUUUGUGGCUGGUUCAGGUCCAAACCAGUCUGACCAUCCGGUCCAAUCCAGUUUUGACAACACUGCUAAAUAGUAUGCAAAUCACCUGUUGAUGAAUACUAUUUAUUAGUUCACAUUUGAUCGCACUAGAAUUUCUCUCCUCUACAUUUUAUCCUGGAAUGUUAAGGGGUGAUGAGCAAACAAGGAAAAAGGAAUCAGAUAAAGGAUGUUUGUAAAAGAAAUAAGGUGCAGCUGAUUACUUUUCAGCAAACAAAAGUGCAGAGCUUUAGCUAGAAGUUGUUGCGGACUAUUUAGGGAGUUAAAAAUGCUGAAUGGGUAUCUUUGUAUGCUAUUGGCAGAUCACAGGGAGUGGCUGCGGCAUGGGAUUCCUCUGUAUGGUCAAAAUCUGACUGGUGGAGUAGCUCAUUUUGGAUGUCUGUUCUGUUGAAAGACAAGACUUCAGGUUUCGAAUGGCUGUUCACUUUGGUAUAUGGACCUAAUCAGGAGGACAAAAGAAAGGAGUUUUAGGACGAACUAUCUGAUUGCCAAGCUAAAUUCAGCAGGCCAUGGUGCAUAGGGGGUGAUUUUAAUGUCACCCUUUUUUCUUUGGAGAAGUCGAAUGGGUAGAGAGUUAUUGGGAGCAUGAGAGUGCAUGAGAGUUUUCUCUGAUUGGAUAGACUUUUGUGAGCUGGCAGAUUUGCUGAUGGAAGGAGGAAAGUUUACGUAGUCCAAUGGCCAGUCAUUUCCAACUAUGUCCAUAUUAGAUUGUUUUCUUGUCUCACUAGAUUGGAUCAAGAGUUUCCCGUUAGCUUCUCAAAGGGCCCCACCAUAGGCGAUCUCAAAUCACUGCCCCUUGCUACUGAUGCUGGACGUGGAGAAUUGGGGGCCGAGGCCCUUUAGAUUCGAGCUCAGCUGGUUGGAGAUCGAGAACUUCUUGCAAAAGAUUAAGGACUGGUGGUCUAUGUUUGAUGUGGAAGGCUAUGCGGGAUUCAAGCUUUCUUGGAAGUUGAGAUUAUUAAAAGAAAAGUUAAAAUCUUGGAAAAAGUGGAGUUAGGUAUGUGGGAAAAAGAAACAUCCGAAAUCUUUUGCAAGCUUCAAGCCUUGGACGUUAAAGCGGAGAAUAUGGGACUGUCUUCUGAGGAUUCGAUAAUGCGGGCUAAACUUACGUAAAAGUACGCUAGAAGGGUUAAAGAAGAUGAAAGUACAUGGAAACAGUGAUCAAGAAGCAUGCGGAUUAGGGAGGGUGACAGAUUUACCAAGUACUUUCACUGAAUAGCUAAGGGCAAGAAUUAAUAAAAUUAGUGGUCUUGUUUUUUAUGGCACCUGCAUUGAAGGGAAGGAGUCUAUCUGUUGAAAAUUUUCACUUCUACGAGAACAUGUUAACGGGAGAGGAUUGGAUAAGGCCACACCUGGAUAAUUUGUCCUUCAACCGCUUCUCGAUUGAGGAAGCCAAGUCGCUUGAGGUUCCCUUUACAGAGGAGGUUAAGGUUGCUGCAGACUUGUUGGAAGGUGAAAAAUCACUGGAGAACAAUCUCAACACUAGGGGAAAAAUAGUUGGUCAUCUCAAAUCUACUCCAUUUGGAGAAUUCUAUACUUAAAAUAGGCCAAGGGACUGUGUACCAGUUUACAAACUACUCUAGAGGAUAUUACUGCACUUCUUUUUUUUUUUUACACACUUUCACACCCACACACACCACAAUGGGCGCUCAAACCUAUGACCUCUGUGUUGAAACUCCUAUGAGUCUACCACCGAGCCAUGAGUAGGGACCCAAAGGAUAUUACUGCGCUUUUCACCAAAAUAGAUUGCAAAAAAUAAGAUGGAAACGGAAAAGGGUUGCUUUUGAUGCUGGGGUCUCAGCUUGACUAGAGCUUAAAAGCCUCUCACAAGGCUGUCGUAGGUUUGGUUUCUUAAUAGCAGCAGCAACUAAGAUGCACGGAGAGCAUGUUGGCUUAUUCACUGCAAAGUACAAAGCAACCAAAAUCUUGGCACAAAGGAUUGAGAAAAUAAAAGAUGCUAGACUAGUAUGACCUGAAAUCAUAAUGAUCAAACAAUCCUAACCAUCCAAUCUGUCUAUCAAAUGGAUGGCUAGAAUAAAAGGGAACAUCUCAUCUGCAACAAAUUGUAGAUGAGAAAACUGUGCAACAAUCUUAGUGUGGGGGUCCACCUUGGUGCACAAGGCAGCUCAUCUGCACGGCACAUACUGACACAAAUGACACUGACAGCAUGGAAGAUAGGUGAGAGAUCAAUCCAUCAAUCAUGCGAGUCCAUUCGUGCAGAUUUUCUUCCUCAAAAAUAAAUCUAGUCCACUCAACAUAUGGAACCCUCUAUUAGAAACAGGUGGUCAGGUUAGAUAUGAUCAAAUGGAGUCGACUAAACCAGUGCCUCUUGUGGUAUCAGGCUCUGUGGGGUCCACUUGCUGUAUGCAUAACCCAUCCAUCAGAUACGCCUCCUUGCGUUUGGCCUUUGGCUAAAAAAUGAGGCUGAUCUCAAGACUCAAGUAGGCCACACCACAUGGAACGUUUGGGAGGGAAUGCCCACCAUAAAUUGUGAUGCGGCCCACCUAAGUUUUGGAAGGGCCUAUCCUGCGUGCUGUAUGUAUGUCAUCCAACCCAUCCAUCAGAUACACCACCUUGUGUUUGGCUAGGGGCUCAAAAGCAGAUCCAAAACUCCAGUGGGCUACACCACAAGGAAUAGUUGGGAGGGGAUGCCUACCAUUAAUUGCGGCGUAGCGUAGCCCUCCCAAGUUUGGAAUGGCCUGAUUUUUGCGGUGUCCCUCCAUCUUUGUGGAAUGUGUGAAGUGAAUGGAUUUGAUGGUAUGUAGAGAGCAUUGUGGCACCCACAUGGUUAAUGGUGUGCAUCCCCUCUUAAAUGUUCCCCGUGGUGUGGCCCACCUUUUUGUUUGCCUGAUUUUUCGACUCAUGGUCCAAAAUGAGAGGGUGUACUAGAUGGAAGGAUAUUAUCUUCAUAAUGGUGUGAGGACAUUAUCUUUCAAGGUCAUCAUUAUCAUCUAAGCCUUAUCCCAAUUAAUUGGGGUUUGCUACAUGAAUACCGUUUUGCCAUUCCCAAGGUGUUCCAAAAUGGUAACGGUGGCUGUUACAGCCACCGCCAUUACCGUUACAAUACGGGCCGUUAUGACCUUUU